rnacentral:rRNA from 1 species
AUUGAACUCUGGCGGCAUGCCUAACACAUGCAAGUCGAGCGAGUGGCGGACGGUUGAGUACUGUCUGGGAAACUGCCUGAUGGAGGGGGAUACCUACUGGAAACGGUAGCUAAUACCGCAUACCAUCGGAUGUGCCCCGAUGGGAUUGGCUAGUAGGUGGGUUAAAGGCUCACCUAGGCGACGAUCCCUAGCUGGUCUGAGAGGAUGACCAGCCACACUGGAACGGAGAAACGGCCCAGACUCCGACGUGAGGAAGCAGUGGGGAAGAGUGCACAAUGGGCGAAAGCCGGAUGCAGCCAUGCCGGGUGUGUGAAGAGGGCCUUCGGGUUGUAAAGCACUUUCAGCGGGGAGGCGUUACCCGAAGAAGAAGCACCGGCUAACUACGUGCCAGCAGCCGCGGUAAUAC